ACCCUUUAAUGUUUGAUGUUCUAACGUGGACCCGUGAUCCGGGUUGCGGACAGUGUCUGGUGGGUAGUUUGACUGGGGCGGUCUCCUCCUAAAGAGUAACGGAGGAGCACGAAGGUUGGCUAAUCCUGGUCGGACAUCAGGAGGUUAGUGCAAUGGCAUAAGCCAGCUUGACUGCGAGCGUGACGGCGCGAGCAGGUGCGAAAGCAGGUCAUAGUGAUCCGGUGGUUCUGAAUGGAAGGGCCAUCGCUCAACGGAUAAAAGGUACUCCGGGGAUAACAGGCUGAUACCGCCCAAGAGUUCAUAUCGACGGCGGUGUUUGGCACCUCGAUGUCGGCUCAUCACAUCCUGGGGCUGAAGUAGGUCCCAAGGGUAUGGCUGUUCGCCAUUUAAAGUGGUACGCGAGCUGGGUUUAGAACGUCGUGAGACAGUUCGGUCCCUAUCUGCCGUGGGCGCUGGAGAACUGAGGGGGGCUGCUCCUAGUACGAGAGGACCGGAGUGGACGCAUCACUGGUGUUCGGGUUGUCAUGCCAAUGGCACUGCCCGGUAGCUAAAUGCGGAAGAGAUAAGUGCUGAAAGCAUCUAAGCACGAAACUUGCCCCGAGAUGAGUUCUCCCUGAGACUUUAGGUCUCCUGAAGGAACGUUGAAGACGACGACGUUGAUAGGCCGGGUGUGUAAGCGCAGCGAUGCGUUGAGCUAACCGGUACUAAUGAACCGUGAGGCUUAACCUUACAACGCCGAAG
rnacentral:rRNA from 3 species